UGUGUUCCAUAUCAUAUUCACUCUCCUCAAUGCCUUUCAGGUAAGUUCCACUCUACAGGGCUCUCAGGAAGCAUCUGUACUGGUGGGACAAAUUAAUGAUAGCAACACAAACAAGGGUAGGAAUGGGGAAGGAUUUUAGUUCAGAGCCCUAAAGAGAAGUAAUUACAAGCACUCGGUGAUAUAGAAUGGACACAUUCCUCAGCUCCCAUGGAACCUCAUACCUCUUAUCACUGGUAUUAUAACUUAGUUGCAUGCAUGACUCUCUUUGAAAAGCCCUGAUAAUACACGUAAGAGGAAAGUCCCUUCCCUACACAGGAUUUUGCUAUUUAUCCAACAUUAUCAGGAUGCCACCUAUUAUCUCCUAAUUGAAAAUACCACUAUAAAACCAAGUAAUCUCUCCAGUUAAAUUUCUACAAGCAUUAAAUGAACUCUAUCUUUGUGGGGUCAGGGAUAACAUCUAUCUCACUUAUCGCUGUAUCCCUAGUAGUACCUAAAAAAGAACUUGACCCAGAGUAGGUGCUCGAUAACCAUCAGCUAAAUAAAAUGAGUGCUAUGUACCACAUAGUAAGUUCCCUAGAAACAUUUGCUGAAGAAGGAAGAAUGAAUGUCCUAUGUAAGGUAGACAUUCUGCUGUAUUAUACUAAAAUGAAAAAGACACACUCUUGGGGUGCGUGGGUGGCUCAGUCGGUUAGAUGUCCAACUCUUGGUUUCAGCUCAGGUCACGAUCUCACAGUGUCGUAAGUUUGAGCCCCACAUUGAGAGCAGAGCCUGCUUGGGAUUCUCUGUCUCCCUCUCUCUCUGCCCCUCCCCCCACUCGUGCUGUCUCUGUCUCUCCCAAAAUAAAUAAAUAAACUUUAAAAAAAAAAAAGACACACUCUUUGCUCUCCCAUAGCACAUAGCACAUAGCACAUAAAUAACUAUAGAAUAAGUCCAAUUGUUAGAAGAACUUUAGCAGAGGUACAGACAACAAGCGUUUGGAGCACAGGGAAGGGAAUGCUUAAUUCUGAUUCAACCAGUAGGUGGGUGGUAAGCAUAGGUCCUCACGAGCUGGUGAGGGGGCAGUGGGUCUGGAGGUGAAGUUGAAACAUUGCCCCGAUGCUCAUGCCAGAUCCUAACUUCUGCUAGGCCCGUGGCCUCAAACUAUAUGGCUCAUAUCUAAUGAAGUUUACAGUAUGGCUUGACUACAAGGGACUGGUAAUGUCACCCCAUGCCCCAGGUCCUCAUCACAAUUAUGUGAACCCUACGGAGACGUAAGAGAUGUACUUAACAGCAUAGCCAAUAGGACCUCCAGUUCACAAAGGGGCGGGGAUAAGGAAAUAGAAUGAUAUCCUUAUAACAUUAUAACAUUUAAGGUCUCUUGGUGUGGACCUACUGAAUCCCUUUGAACAUUAUUAUCUACCAGACCCAUUCCAUAAACACAGAAGUGGGAAGACGUAGUACGAAUUCAUUGCCGGGGUAACAAUACUUCCUAUGUUGCCGGACAAUAGAACAUGAUUAAAAUCGUAUUGAAUUAUAAUCAUAAUCUUAAACCAUAAAAUCAUAAGAUUAAAAUGUACUUCCUGCCAAUUCUUUUUUCAGGGGCUAUUCAUUUUACUCUUUGGGUGCCUCUGGGAUCAGAAGGUAAGAACAAUCACAGUUUCGUGCUCCCAGAGAAGUCCAGUGUUUGUGGCAUGUUGAACUUACGAGGGCUUCCUUUAAACAACUGCAGGUGCAGGAAGCCUUGCUGAAGAAGUUUUCACUGUCAAGAUGGUCUUCACAGCACUCAAAGGCAAGUCCUUCCUUUGCAGGGACUUUGGCAAACCCUUCCCUCUCCACAGCCUGAUUCACCAUAGAUUAUUCCACUGCUUGUGCGUCUCACCUGAUUCUGCCUAUUAAAGUCAGCCACGGAGCUUUCACUAAGACGCUGUCCCACAUCUUUAAGUAGGGAUCAGGUAGCACAGACAAUACCAGCUGGAGGUCAAAAAUCCAAGUUCAGUGAGAAACAAGAAGUUUUCUGGGGACAUGGAAGACAAUAGAGAACAGAAUGUGAGGAAUAACGCAGAGAUUGUUGGUAGUUCUUUUUGGAAAAUAACGAUUGCGCUCAGAGUUGACUGUUUUCACACAUCAGAAAACACUAAACCCUAUAUAACAGUAAAACACAUAUUUGAAAGUUAUUUUCCCAAUUCUGGUGAGAGUCCGAUGUUUCAAGGUGGCCCUCCUACUUGAUUUGUUUGAACUUGAAAUUCAUGCUCUUUCAGGCUCACUUUCAAGCGGAAUGAGAGAUGCAGGCAGUGACCACUAGAGGGCAGCAAACAAACCAUCAGAGAGAUCAAAAGAGGGCUUUGGUGGAGCACCUGGGUGGUCCAGUCAGUUGAGCGUCAGGCUUUGGCUCAGGGCGUGAUCUCACAGUUUGUGAGUUCGAGCCCGGCGUCCGGCUCCGUGCUGACAGCGCGGAGCCUGGAGCCUGCUUCGGAGUCUGUGCCUCCCUCACUCUCCCCAACUCAUGCUCUGCCUCUUUCUCUCUCAGGAAUAAAUAAACGUUAAAAAAAAAAAUUAAAAAAAAGAGGAAUCAAAACAGGGCUUUGGUUUAACAUUUGCUUGCUAAUUGUCUUUUUUUCUUUUUCAGUCAACAUCCCUCGGUUCAUCUACACCAGUAUUUUCUAUGAGUUCUCCGAUAUCAAGAAGAUUUAACAAUUUGUUUGGUAAAACAGGUACGUAGUGACCUCUAGCUCACUCCCUGGGGUACUUAGUUUGGGUUGACUUGAGCAAAUUUGCCCUGAUGCGGACUCUCACACCCCUACUUUCCCACUUCGUGGCGUUUACCAUGAACAGCCUCAUUUGGGCCAGAGGUUAAAUACAGGAACUCGCUUCUAUUUCCCAAGCCACCAGCAGGUUGUAGAGAGAGAGCAACUGCCUUCAGCGGGCAACUGAUAAUAACUUAAAAAGGAUAAGAUUUGGAGAAUCUAGACAAGCCUGUGGAGAGCUGUCAAAACCGUAUCCACCACAAAAGUGGGAACUGUAAAUUGCUAGCCUUGUCAAAUGCGGAGUUCAUUGCUAUUCGUGUUAAAUAAGAAUAGGCAGGUCAUGUUUAUGGGUUAAGGUACGGCAAAAAAAUAUAUUUAGAAAACUACUACAGGAUCACAUGCUGUGGAUUUCUUUUCCCUGUUUUUUUCUUUUUUUUGGGUGGAGGGGGGUGUGCUUGUUUUAUAUAUGGGCAUGUAUAAAACCGUGCAUGCAUAGAGGAGGAAUCACCCAAGUUAGCUAUUCUGCUGGGAACAUGCACAGUUAAAUUGCUACCUUGGAGGUAUAAAGUCAAUAAUGUGAAUGACUUUAAGCAAUGGGUCUCAGCUAGUCGGGCAAGUUGAAACCUCUGCCCGCUAUGCCCCUACCCCCAGGAAAAUAAGCACCAAAACUCCCUCCAGCUUCUUGAAACUGAACAGAUCUCACAAAUGCCGAAUCUAGAAAAGCGUCAUUAUUCCAGACUAAGGCUCUUCCUAUAAAAUCAAUUGAGAAUGCCUACCAUUUGUUAGAACUCCGGAGGACUUGGUGUUUUUUUGCUUCGACCUGAUGCGUUACUCAUGAAACCGGAGGACCUUCACUUGCGAUUUGGCAAGUCACCGAUGGCAGCUGGUGUGAAAUUAUCAAAUCUUCAGGGUGUAGUACAACCACUGCACUUGGCCGGCACUGUCACUGGAACGUGUUGACCAUUCGCGCUCGGGUUAAAACUCUGCGAAAUGAUUCUACUGAAUCAGAAUGACACAAUAUGCAAGGCCGAUAAAAUGUGCUCUUUGAUUUUGAACCAGUCCGGUCAAAGGUGGAGUUGGGGCUCUGCUCCUGAGGUCCCAGGGCCUGAGAUUUCCAGUCACUGCCAUUCAAUGACCCCUCGAAGGUCAUUAACGCAGCGCCCUACUGGCCUACCUGAGGGUCCCGUAAUCACUGUAACUUUGGUUUAUGUUGUCGGCAGCCCCGCAGGGCCCCCCAGGCAGUGAUGGAAACCUUGUUAGCAGUGGCAGCUCACCAGUCUGAUGGUAGGGUGGGCACCGUGUCCCCUCCUUGCCCAACACCACCCUCACUCGCCCUGUGCUCAGUCCCUUCAUUAGCAUCCCCUGACUUCUGCUUCUUUCCCAGUCCUGUCUUUCCUUCCCUUGUAAUUUUCUCCUUUCGUUUCUUGUUCCCCUUCCCCCCUCCCCCAACCGCCGCCCUCACCUUUCAGCUCAGCCUCUGGCUCCCCCCCCACCCAAGACCUUCCCAAGUCACUCCAACCCCAGGGGGCCAGGGAGGUUCCCUCACACAGAUGUCCCCAGGCCCGUGCAUGUGGUGGCAUGUGGAGGGCUGCCCAGAGUUCGUAUGUCCCUGGCCUUUGUAGAAAUCUGGCUGCUGGUUUGAUGUGAAGCAGUUAGCGCUUGUCUCCUGGGCUGCCGCGCAUGCUUGAGAACAACAGCUUUGUUCUCUGCCACUUCUGGGUCCUGGGAGGAGGGCAGGCAUGGGUGUGUUUCCAGGCAUGGCCGAGCUUCCCUGGCUCUCGGGCUAGAGCUCCCCUUGGGCCAUUAGGAGAGGCUCACACCGCAGUGAUCAGGAAGUCUUGUCCUUAAGGCCGAGCUGCUGCUCUGUUUUUCAGGCACGUACAAUGUCUCCACCCCAGAAACAACCAGCUCAUCCCUGGAAAACACAUCCAGUGCUUACUCGUUGCUCAACUAACAACAGGAAAAUCCACCCAUACGACUUCCUAAAGGACAGUGGAUGCGCUCUGAAAAAAGUCCUUCCAAAGCCACGGGUGAACUGUUUUCUCCACAGGCUUCCUGGAGCGGAUGCUGAAGAGACUGUUUCAUUAGGGGAAGAAGCUUUCUUUCAUAAGAACGGACUCAAAGUCAUUGUUAAGUUUAUUUGCUGCCCCACCCCCACCUCUUGUGUGAUACUAAAUGUGUAUAGUAUUUAAGUGAAACUCAAGUCCCCCGAGGCCCAAUUUCCCUGUCUGUAUUGUAAAAUAGAAUUUCAAAGAGGCAUUGUUCCUUUUCACACGUUGGACACAAAAAUAAGCUUUCCUAGGUACAAGGCUAAUACCUAGGAACUACUUCAGUGAAUUCUAAGAAGGAAGGAAGGAGGGAAGGAAGGAAGGAAGGAAGGAAGGAAGGAAGGAAGGAAGGAAGGAAGGAAGGAAACAGGAAAAAAAAAGAUAGAGAAAAACAUUAAAAACUACAUUACUUCCAUGUGAAUGUAAUUAUUCAGACACUGCCACAUGGAGAAUACAAAAAUGGCUCAAAACGGAAACUGAAAUAAGCCAGGGGGAAAGUCUGGUAUCUUCCUGAUAUUUUCUUAGCUACGAGAGAGGGACAGAGAGAGAGAAAAAAAAAAAAAGGACAGUGGGAAAAGACAGGGAGGAAAUUGUAACAUGAAGAUGCUUUCAAGUGGAUAAUAAUAUUUAUAAGAAAUGCGUGGAAGGAGAUGUAAUUCUCCUGAUGCUAAACACACACACAGAUGCUAUUAGUUCGUGCUAAGGUUUGAGCUCAGUGGACCGAGUAGGCAGAGGAAGCGUGAUUGAGGCUCUUUAUUAGAUCCCAGCAGACCCAACGGCUAAUUGCAUCUUCUAAAGUUUAUCGGGAGAAGCCUUACGUGUUGGUUUAUUCCACUUUUUUGAAGGCCAAAAAUAUAUUUUUUUAUAUCCAUCACUUGCCAAAUGUGAUAUAAUGUGAUAUAAGUGUGAUAUAUUGCACUGAAAACAGAUCCCACCUGUCAUAUACUGUAUUUAACAGCUUUAACCAGGUACUUCUCUGGGCACAAUAGAGUAGAUUUUAAUAAUCAUAUGGCACGGUUUAUUGUUCCUGUUGUUGCUACCGUGGAUUUCGUGGCCCUUGGUGUGUUGUGUAGCUCCCUAUGCAUUAGCUCUCUAAGUGCUUGAGUUCCGAGACCAAUAUACGUUAAGAGUUUUGCAUUGUCUAACUUGUGUUUAUUCCGACCACUUGGCAAUCUUCUGGAAAGAAAUUUUACAGCUGGCUCAGUCUACGCUCCUAAUGACCCUUUACCUCAGUGAGCAGAUGGUGGGGCUUUUCCCAAGGAGGUGACUGUUUAUGAAUUAGGUGCAGGUGUGUGUGUUUCUCGUGCUGUGUGCAUUUCAUAAAAAUACAACUAUUAUUAAAAUCGC
rnacentral:lncRNA from 1 species